GAAUUCACUAGAUGAUUCUCCUACGGGAGGCAGCAGUGGGGAAUUUUGGACAAUGGGGGCAACCCUGAUCCAGCAAUGCCGCGUGAGUGAAGAAGGCCUUCGGGUUGUAAAGCUCUUUUGUCAGGGAAGAAACGGCAUCUCCUAAUACGAGGUGCUAAUGACGGUACCUGAAGAAUAAGCACCGGCUAACUACGUGCCAGCAGCCGCGGUAAUACGUAGGGUGCAAGCGUUAAUCGGAAUUACUGGGCGUAAAGCGUGUGUAGGCGGCUUUGCAAGUCGGAUGUGAAAGCCCCGGGCUCAACCCGGGAAGUGCACUCGAUACUGCAGAGCUUGAGUGUCGGAGAGGUUGGUGGAAUUCUCGGUGUAGAGGUGAAAUUCGUAGAUAUCGAGAGGAACACCAGUGGCGAAGGCGGCUACCUGGACCGAUACUGACGCUCAGGUGCGAAAGCGUGGGGAGCAAACAGGAUUAGAUACCCUGGUAGUCCACGCCCUAAACAAUGUCAACUGGUUGUUGGGGGAGUGAAAUCCCUUAGUAACGAAGCUAACGCGUGAAGUUGACCGCCUGGGGAGUACGGUCGCAAGAUUAAAACUUAAAGGAAUUGACGG
rnacentral:rRNA from 1 species